rnacentral:tRNA from 1 species
GAGGUUAUAGCUCAGUGGUAGAGCAUGUGCCUAGCAUGCAUGAGGUCCUGGGUUCAAUCCCCAGUACCUCCA